UGGAGUCUGCAACUCGACUCCAUGAAGUCGGAAUCGCUAGUAAUCGCAGGUCAGAAUACUGCGGUGAAUACGUUCCCGGGCCUUGUACACACCGCCCGUCACACCAUGGGAGUGGGAUGCAAAAGAAGUAGUUAGUCUAACCUUCGGGAGGACGAUUACCACUUUGUGUUUCAUGACUGGGGUGAAGUCGUAACAAGGUAACCCUAGGGGAACCUGGGGU
rnacentral:rRNA from 1 species